GAUUGCUUGAAAAAAUUUCACCUGGUGGGCAAGUUCCGCAACUUUGGAAGUGAAAUUCUGGCUCGGUUCCGUUGCGGUUCUGUGCGGUGCAGCAAGGGUAGAAUUGCGGUCAGAACAACGGGGGCAAUGGUAUACUCCCGGGUCAAAUGAUAAAGAGAAACCACCUCCCAACGCACCGCCGCGGGUUGCGCGUGAACUUAUGUAGUGCGUGCGUGCGUGCGUGCGUGUGUGCGCGUUGAGGUGCCGAAGGAGUUCGGAGCAGAAAUCUACAUCUAUUUAUCCAGCAGCUUUGCCUGCCGGUUUAUGCUGAAAUGUUGUAUUGAAGUGCAACGGUAAUGAUGAUGGUGCGAUUACUGCAGCGAACUGGAACGAAGAUGUUCAUUGAACCCCCUCUCUAGGAGCCAGCACCACCGCAAGUCAGAGCUCGUUGUGAAAUUUGCAAUGAUACAGUGAUGAUUAGUUGCUGACGACGGGGUUGUUACGAGCGGUAAUUCCAUCAGCAUCUUCUGGGAUGAGCCAGCUCGGAUCUCGAUGAUGGCAAGAGAGCCGCGGCUCCCGUCGACGAAGCUUGACGAAUCGAUUUCUCGGGACAACGAACGCAUACACCGUGGUUUGGUAAGGUGCUUGUGUCCACUUGUUCCCGAGGCCCGUGCAAACAUAAUCUUUGCUGUGUAGUGAAACCAUCUUCGACCGAUCAAGGAUGAAAAGUAGGCCGUGCUAGCGAUGAUUGCGGUGGGUGCGUUCGUUUUAAGAUGGACAUUCUUUGAGUCACCGCAAGCGAUCACGUCGAACAGAGAGAGCAGAGAGAGAAAGAGAGACAGCAGAGAGCAAAGCCAUCCGUGGCCGAAACGAAAUGGACCCGAACGAGAGUCAUCAUGGACAACAACAAGGACCACCGUCGGUGGAUGGUCGAGGUGCAUCAUCCAUGGCCGGGGCCAGCGGCGCGAGUGGUUCAGCGGCUGCAGCUGCUGCCGCUGCUGAGGCUGCAGCGGCGGCUUACCUGCAUCAGCAGUACGCCCAAGGCACGAGCCAUCAUCUAGCACCCGGAUAUGCAGCCGCAAUGAUGGACCAUCAUCACCACCACAUGAAAGAUGCCUACUACCACCAUCAUCAACACGGACGUCAUUACGAUCCUUACGCGUUGCACCAUGGACAUGGAGGACCGUAUCAUGCUCCACCUCCCCCACCACCGGUGUCUACAUUGGGUUCGAUAAAUCCGAUGCAUCCACAGCAUUCCUAUCAUCAUCACCACCAUGGACACCAGAAUCCGUACGGACACACGUACCAUAAUCAAGCGGCUUCUUCUUACCCUCCACCGCAAGCACCGGCUGGUAUGCACCAUCAUCCAGGACAUCAUCAUUCUUCGCUUCUUCCUCCAACUGCGCCAGGAUCUGCUUCUACCAUGGGACAGUAUGGUGGUGGACAUCAACCAUACGCUGCAGCCUACGGACAGGCGACGAGUGCAGCGACCGAUCAGUCGAGCUCCGUAGGAGGAACACACUAUGGGUCGCAUUCCGGGAUCGGAAAUGGAACUGGCGUCGGAGGGGGAGGUAGUGCGCAUCAUUAUAAUGCCUCGGCCACCGGAGGAGGGUAUCGAGAUGAUAAGGAUAUGAUUAUUGGUACCGAUAUGGCUGGUGAUCAAUCCAGCGCUUCAAUGGCCAUCACGACGCCUAACGCGGCUUCUACAUCGGCGACAGGUGCCAGCAGCGCUGGUGGAAGUAGUGGGAAGCGGAAGAUUGAAAUACUCGACAAUAUUCUCAUAAAGAAAUCUAAACACACACCAGACGUCGGAGGGUCAUCGAUUGGCGUCGGUGGAAUUACUGUACCCGGUGGAAUUCCCAACAAUGCAUUCUGUCCACAACCGACCGAUCAGGUGAUGGGUGUUGAUGGCAGUAAAUCAUCGUUUCAGAUAUCAAAUCUGCUCGAUGACAAGGGUUCGAAACCAUCACAUCCUGGAAGUGCGAGUGGUGCAAAGAAUGCGAUGUCCGUGGGAGCGAACGAAAAGAAGACAUCCUCAGGAGGACGAGGUUCGAAGGCUAGCCGAAAAGGGACUAGCAGCAACGAAGGAGGAGCAGGAGGAUCCAAUUCUUCAAAGUCCUCUAGUUCGAGCAAAGGAAGUGCGACUAAAAAUGACCCCAGUGGUCAGCAAUCUUCGGGUGGAGAUAGUGAGCAAGGGCAGGGUUCGGAGCAUAAGGAACAGCAAGGGCAGCAGAUGGAUUUCGAUAUUUCGGAAAAGUUGAAAGAAAUGGGUGAGAUCAGCGUGAAGCCGGUAUCGAAGACGGAUGCCAAUGCCAAAGCACGCAGCGAACUCGAGUGUAAUGAAGAGAUAUCACUCGAAAUAACGAAGAAGGAUGCAGCGAUGCGCAAGGUAACUAAUUUGCGUAAAAACAUCAAGGAAGUGAUGGACGAUAAUCAGCUAGACGCUUCGACGCUCGCUGCCCAGCGACAAGAGUUGGAGCGUUUGGCGCGCGUCCAGGAACAGCAGCGCAUUAUCCGGGAGGUGCAGCGGCAGCUGGCACUCGAGCGGCAGACAAACAAAACCGAGCAAAAGGUGAUGCAGUUCCUGCAGGGUCAUGCUUCCAUUUUGAAACCCCAGCAGCCUAGCACAUCCGGGACGGUGCCGGCAAGCUCUACGGGAGGCAGUACCGGCAUGGGUUCUGGUGUUGGGGGCAGCGCAGCUGCCACAGCGGCGUCAUCAUCAUCCGCUUCCACCACUACCGCGACUACUCCUGUACGUCUUGGAUACGUUAAGAAUCCGUUCGAAACACGCGGCCGUCCACCGAAGAACCGGCAGGUAUCGAUGCUGGCAUCAUCCUUGGCCUCAUCAUCUUCGGCCACAUCAUCCUCUACGAUUACGCCGACCGCCAAUCUGACACCUUCGGUUAGUAUUGCUCCGGUCAAAGCGAGCAGCGCUACGAUGAGUGCAGCCGCUUCUACCUCGUCACUGUCCUCGCUAUCCUCCUCUUCUUCAUCGGCCUCGGUGAUUCCGGUCCGUACGUUUGAGGAGAUGGUGGAUAGCGAUGGCGAGGAGUUGGAACCGGAGGAUGAAGAGGAAGAUGAGGACAGUGAGGGUGAAGUGAUUGCGCUGCCCGAAAAGAAGGAGAUCGUAACGAUCGACAGCUCAUCGGAUGAUGACGAUUGCAUUGUGCUGUCCGAUGAUGACGAGGAGGAACCGGAAGACGAGUCCGAUGAUGAUCCGCAGAACAGUGGGCUGCACGUGAACGAUGCGUACAAUGUACCGGACGAGCAAGGCCGCGUGGUGAUCAAUGUUGGGCACGCCGAUGGUGAGCAGGACAUUUUUCUUGCACCGCAGAUUGCGCGCAUUAUCAAACCGCAUCAGAUCGGUGGUGUGCGCUUUCUGUUCGAUAACAUCAUCGAAUCGAUCGAGCGGUACGACUCAUCGACUGGCUUCGGUUGCAUACUGGCUCAUUCGAUGGGCCUGGGCAAAACACUUCAGUUAGUUUGCUUCUGUGAUAUAUUUUUAAGACACACCAGCUCCAAGACGGUACUCGUGAUCAUGCCGAUCAACACGCUGCAGAACUGGUUGAACGAGUUCAACACCUGGCUACCGGAGGAUGCCACCAACAGUCCGUUGCGCAACCAUGGUGAGGUACGGCCGCGCAACUUUCGGAUCUUCAUCCUGAACGAUAGCCACAAGACGCUCAAAUCGAGGGCCAAGGUCGUGCUCGAGUGGGCCAAGAACGGAGGGGUGCUGCUAAUCGGGUACGAGAUGUACCGCUUGCUAAGCCAGAAGAAGAUGACGAAGAAGAAGAAGAAAAAGAAAAAGGGCGGUGUGCUAGUGGAGGUGGAAGAGGAGGAAAAGGAAUCAACUGAAGAGCAGCGCAGCAUGUUCGACGACAUCCAUGAAGCGCUCGUAAAACCAGGCCCGGAUCUGGUGGUCUGUGAUGAGGGCCAUCGUAUCAAGAACUCACACGCCAGCAUCUCGGUGGCGUUAAAGCAAAUUAAAUCUAAGCGACGUAUCGUCCUUACCGGUUACCCACUGCAGAACAAUCUGCUCGAAUACUGGUGCAUGGUGGAUUUUGUGCGGCCGAACUACCUGGGCACGAAGACGGAGUUUAGCAACAUGUUUGAACGACCGAUUCAGAACGGACAGUGCAUUGAUUCAACGCCACAGGACAUCAAAUUAAUGCGAUACCGUGCACACGUACUACACUCGCUGUUGCUCGGUUUCGUGCAGCGAAGGUCUCACUCUGUGCUGCAAACGUCACUACCCCAGAAAGAGGAGUAUGUCCUGCAGAUCCGUAUGACCGAGUUCCAGCGUAAGCUGUACACAGUGUUCAUGAACGAGGUAGUGCGUACGAAGGCAGUACCAAACCCACUGAAAGCUUUCGCCGUGUGCUGUAAGAUCUGGAAUCAUCCGGAUGUGCUGUACAAUUUUCUGAAGCAAAGUGAAGGCGAUCUCGAUCUGGAACUCGAAGAAUCGGAACCGCCAACUGGCAAAGCACCAAUUCCGGGAGAUCCUGCGAAUGGAGUUGCACCAACGGCGGCGGCGGCAGCGGCCGCGGUAGGAGGUGGUCUUGUUGCAAUGGAGGUUGAUGCAGCUUCGGCCACAACUGGGACGAUGAUUUCGAAUAAACCCGGUCCUGGACGUAAAAGCGGCCCACCGGCGAUUCCGAAACCACCAAAACCAUUGGCCUUGAAGAAGGAUGGUACUCCACGGAAACCGAGAACGCCGAAAAAGUUGCUCAACAAUAAGUCACAGGCGGUUGGCAAGGAUGGCCGGAUUGUUCCAGCCGCUACGAUCAGUCCAAGCAACGUGACGAGCGCAAAGGACGCUAUGGAUACGUCACAGCCGCUACAGCCCUCCUAUCCGAAGGUCGAUACAGGGCAUCCUUCUUAUGGAAUUGAUAGGAAUGGUAUUAAGCAAGAAGGUCCGAUGCCGUAUCCUUCGUCCCAAUAUCACCAAUCGAAUGAUUCUUACUCACAACCGUACCCAGGCCCGGGUGGUAGCUAUCAGGGAGGUUCGAGUUUCCAUGGGGCAGGCUACAGUCAAGGGGCAAUGAUGGGCCAAGAUACGCAUUAUGGGUCGUACGGACCGACCGGUACCCAUUACGGUACUUCUGGUGCCCCUACCGAUCCCUAUGGUGGAGGAAUGUACGGUGGAAACUACUAUAGAAACGAUUACUCCGGUUCCUCUUACCAUCCUCCCAAUGCGUACGAUCAAGGUUACAAUUCCUACAGUGCCAACGCAGCCAAUGCCAACAUGGGGACUGCUGGUGGAUACUCGAGCAAUGGUGUUAAUGCUGUGGGCACAACCGGUGCAGCAACUAGCACACAAGCUAACUACUGGAGUGGGAACCAGAGCAACGGAAGCAACAAUAAUAGUGCGUAUGACUACAAUCAGCAGCAGCAACCAACUACUGCCACUGUAGCUAAUAGCGGCAACGAAGCAGCUGGCAAUAUUUCAUCGUAUCCCACGUACCCUGGAGGGUAUGGAGAUACGAAUGGUAAUCCUACAUCAUUGCCCGCUGCUGUGCCUGCCAGCAAUGGGGCAGACAUGUAUAAUUACACUCAACCAGAACGACAGCAGCAGCAGCAACAGCAGCAGUACAAUAGCUUUACUGCUACAGGAGAAGCUCAACCUAAAUGGGAAGCAACAGAAGGGUCUACAGUUCCCAGUGACACUGCUGGUGGGAUCGAUUCUAACGCGAAGGAACCACAAAAACAGCAAAACUCCGAUAAAACAGUAACAGCGCCAAUGACGGGAGAUCUGACUGGAACAACCGCGUCCGAUACCACAACAGUACCUACGUCACCGGAAAGAAAGGAUGCGUCGGGUGUAGGUGCACUUGCAUCCUCAAGCAAUUUCCCACAUGAUGCUGCUACCGUAACGCAGGAACAGGCGAACGCACAGUACGCCAAUCAACCUUCCUUGGAAGAUCUCAACGAUCCAGUCAAGCCGGAUCUUAGCUCAUGCGACAAGUCUAGCAACGAGAUGGUCGCGAUGGACACGAAAGAAAGCAACCCUGAGAGCAAAUUGGAGGAAGAGUUGGAAUCCAGUAUAACUUCCGGCCCGGAGGAGUUGAAGCCGGAAAUUAAACAAGAUUGUGACAAAGAAGAGAGCGAUGUUAAACAGGAAUCGGAAAAACUGGACGAAGGAACGGCUGCAGCGGAUUUGGGAACGAAUGGCGCUAUUAAGUGUGAAGUUAAAGUGGAGAAUGAAGAUCAGAGCGUUGUGGCCAAUGGAGACGCUAAGAUGGAAAAUGCACCCCAGUCCAAGGAAGCACAGCCAGCGGCAACCACUACACAAAAUCCAGCCACAGAGAAUGUAACAGAUGUUGAUGUAAAGCAGGAAGUAAAAAAAGAGGAGGGCAAACAGGAAGAUGGUGUAAUGAACUGUGAAAUAGAUGAAAGCAGCGUAAAGGAAGAGAUUGAAAAGAAUGAUGGCGAGGUUAUAGACGCAGAGAAGGACAAACCGAUCAUCAUUGCCCCGGACACCGAUAAGUGUGCAGAAGAUGCAAAAGAUGUGAAAGAUACAAUUACGAUCGAGGAAGUCAAGGAUACAGAUAAAUCGCAAGAAGAUGCUAAACUUGUUGAACCGAUUCUCAAUGAGGAGAAAGAAUCGAAAGACGGUGUCAUCAAGAUUGAGGAUGAUGCUGCGGAUCCAAAACCGACGGUGGCGGUACAGUCCGAGAAGGAAGAAAAGACUAUCGAAGAUAAAGAUACGAAAGAAGGAGCCUCUUCGGCGGUAGUGCCGGUAACCAAUUCCGCCGUUGUCGCUGGUACGAAGGAAACGAAAGGAAAAGAUUCCAAGGACGAGAUUCCGUACGAGUGGGCUUUUGAGCUGAUGAAAGGUUACAUUCCGGAUUUGCUGGAAACUUCACCGAAAAUGGAAAUCUUUUUCUGUAUACUGGAAGAGAGUAUCCGUUUGGGUGAUCGGUUGCUCGUGUUCAGCCAAAGUUUGCUAACGUUAAACUUGAUCGAGCGCUUCUUACAGAGAAACAAGAUUCCCGGCACCGAGAGCCAUUGGUCUAGAAAUAUUAGCUACUUCCGUUUGGAUGGUUCAACGGUUGCCCAGGAACGCGAGAAGCUGAUCAAUGAGUUCAAUUCGAAUCCGAACGUUCAUCUCUUUCUCGUGUCGACCCGCGCGGGCUCGCUGGGUAUUAAUUUGGUUGGCGCAAAUCGUGUGGUGGUGUUUGAUGCAAGCUGGAACCCAUGCCAUGACACGCAAGCCGUAUGCCGGGUGUAUCGUUAUGGACAGAAGAAACCCUGCUUCGUCUACCGACUCGUGAUGGAUAACUGUUUGGAGAAGAAGAUCUACGAUCGCCAGAUCAACAAGCAGGGCAUGUCGGAUCGCAUCGUGGACGAGUGCAACCCAGACGCGCAUCUUUCGAUGAAGGAAAUCACCAGCCUUUGCUAUGAUGAUGGGGAGGAUGGUGAGAUAAAAGAUUUUAGCCAGGAUAAGGAUAAGUUUAUCGAUAUCGUGAUGCAGCAUUUGCUCGAGUUACAUUCGAAGAAGCUGACAAAGGCACCGUUCGCGCACGAAAGUUUACUGAUCGAUCGGAAGGAGAAGAAAUUGUCCUCGGCCGAGAAACGGCAGGCACAGCGUGGUUACGAGCUGGAGAAACAAGCAGCCACGAAGCCAACAUACUCGUACACGUCGAUGGGGACAACUUAUCGUGCGAUUCGUACCUCUGACGGGUCCAUCAUCCAUCGACCGGUGGCCUCGGUCCGGCCUAUGCAGGCAGGUGAUGCGAACAAGAAUAAUGUUGCCGGUGCACGGCCCACACGCUGGAUACCAGCUGAAGUGUGGCAGCGGCAGGGUAUGACGGCUCAAGAAAUGACGCUUCCAAUAGAUGUGGUCAUACCAACAAGCUCAGCCGACAAGUCUAAUAUUGUGCUGAAGGCGGGCCAGAAGGUGAUGGUACUGAAAUCCCCGAAGGGCAUCUAUAUGCAACUGGAAAGUGGCAAAAUCAUUGCCAUUCGUACGGCGUUCAAGGUCGGUCAAAGUAAGGAUGCCGCGACAACGAAGGGAGGAAAUGUCGUUACAACCACUCCUAACACGACAACGACAGCUGGUCGACGAACGAAUCUGACGUUCAGCAGCACGAAAUCAUCAUCCACGUUGCUGCUUCCAAAGAACGGAAGUGGCGGUACCAGCGAUUUCUCUGAAGGAAACUCACUCAGUAUUGCAUCCAACUCAGAUGAUGAUGAAAAGUCCGAUUCAAGCUUGGUUCCACUCACGAUACACGAUGAUGGAGACAGUGAGAAAGAAACGAUGAGCGUCGACGACUACCCGGACAAACCGGCAAUGAAAAAGGACGAUGUUGAGCAUAUCGUGAAUGACAAAACGGACACUACGAGCAGCACCGGAAGCAUGAGCUGUGGUGGUAGCAGCAGUGGUACAACUACCAGCACAGCGGCGUUACCUACGGGCUUAGGUGUAGCAUCGUUCAAGAAUGCAUCCAAUCAGAAGAUCAGUGGAACAGUAGGCGCAAAUCAAAGUAGCAGCAGCGGUGAAGCGACUGGCGAAAAGUUUCCAAUAAUUCAGUCCGUACACUCGCUAGCAACAGAGACAUCUCUGCCUAAUCGCGGGUUGUUGCACUGCCAAGUACCUGCCCCCACGGCUACGGUGACGAUAGAUGAUGAUUCACCCCCAAUGCGCGAAAAGGCGAUUUUCAAACCGAAUUUGGUAGAGCGUAAAGCGAAAGUAUCCCAGUCGGCUUUGAAAAACUAUCGCCAUAAGGCAGGCAAGGCGGGACUAGAGAUGGGUGCUAUGGGCGUCGCUACGACUAGCGUGAUCCACACACCAGAAACAGCUUCUCUGUCUAAUACGAUUGCUAGUAGUACUGCUUGUACGACUACCACUGUAAGUGCAACUGCAGCUUCACCAAGAGUGAAUGAGUUAUCGACUGGUGUUAUAGGAGGUGUUGCUAGUCAUCCAGCUACAGGGUACGGCCCUGUUACAAUGAAUCCACACAGCAAUACUACAUCCGCUAAACCACAUCAGCCAUCAUUGUUACUGUCUAAUGAAUCGAACAAAAAGUCACACACCAUGAAUGUUACACCACAACCGCUACAGUCAGUAGCGCCAACUGUGGAGUCUUACGCCCAUCAAACGGACCACGCCAACACAGGGUUCUUGCAUCAUCAACAGCACUCUGCAACAACCGCACAUGCAUCUUCGCGUUUGGCACAGAAACCUGUGACUGCUGCAACCUCUCAGUCCCCUUCAACUGAUACUUUGGCGACCACACACCAACAGUACCCUGCAUACGGACCGCCACAAACUCCUCCAUCAUCGUUGAGUGGCAGCAAAAGUGCUAUGCAUCACCAACAGCAACAGCAGCAGCAGCAGCAGCAGCAUCACCACCACCAAGCGGUGCAUGGGCCAUCCGUUUCUUCUGCUUCCGGUUACGCUGCCCCUAAACAGCAUAGCCAGCAUUCGUCGUGGAUGCCCUAUAACGUUGGUUCAUCGGCAAGCGGACCUGUAGGAAAUUACGGACAAUAUGCUUCUCCCAACGCUUCAGGCAUGGCUCCAUCACAACAUCACCAUCAGCAGCAUCAUCCUGGAGGCCAUAGUGGUUACUCGCCACAGCAUCAACCACCGAUAGGUCAUCAGCAGCAUCGUUCACCACAUCAUCCGUUACAUCAUCCAUCGACCGUACAAGGACCGCCACCUCCACCUCCCGGACCGUACGAGUCGAGUUUGAACUUUUUGGAGAAAACGACAUCGGCACUGAUCAACAAUCAAAACCAGAGCGAAUUUCAGGCUUCGCUCAGUAACAUUACUCGGUCACCAACACCGACCGACGGUUAUGUAGAUUAUCCACCGAAACCAAUACCGACCGCCACUGGAAAAAAGGGCGCUGCCAAGAGCAAAACAUCGAAGCAACCUAAAAAUGAUUAUGGAGCCGCUAAGAAGGCGCUUAACAAGCGCAACAAUCCCUCACCAUACACGCACAUUUCGUCAUCGUCUGCUUCGUCGUCUCCGUCGGCUUCUCCGGCAGUUAUGAAUCUGCCACCUGGAAGUACAUCG